rnacentral:rRNA from 1 species
GAUGAACGCUGGCGGCGUGCCUAAUACAUGCAAGUCGAGCGAAAAGACGAGGAGCUUGCUCCUCUCACGUUAGCGGCGGACGGGUGAGUAACACGUGGAUCACCUCCUUAUAAGUCUGGUAUAAUCUCGGGAAACCGGAGCUAAUCCCGGAUAAGAUGUUGCACCGCAUGGGUCAAUGGUGAAAGUCGGUCUUGCUGUCACUUAUAGAUGGAUCUGCGCUGCAUUAGCUAGUUGGUAAGUUAACAGGUUACCAAGGCGACGAUGCGUAGCCGAACGGAGAGGGGGGUCGGCCACACGGGAACGGAGACACCGUCCAGACUCCUGCGAGACGCCGCAGUAGGGAAUCUUCCGCAAUGGGCGAAAAUCUGACGCAGCAGGGCCGCGUGAGUGAAGAAGGUCUUCGGAUCGGAAAACUCUGUUAUUGGGGAAGAACAAAUGUGUAAUUAACUAUGGACGUCUUGACGGUACCUGAUCAGAAAGCCACGGCUAACUACGUG